rnacentral:tRNA from 1 species
UAUAGCUUAGUGGUAGAGCAUGUGCUUAGCAUGCAUGAGGUCCUGGGUUCAAUUCCCAGUA